rnacentral:rRNA from 1 species
AAAUCCGGUUCACUUUAACACUGAGGCGUGACGACGAGGCACUACGGUGCUGAAGCAACAAAUGCCCUGCUUCCAGGAAAAGCCUCUAAGCAUCAGGUAACAUCAAAUCGUACCCCAAACCGACACAGGUGGUCAGGUAGAGAAUACCAAGGCGCUUGAGAGAACUCGGGUGAAGGAACUAGGCAAAAUGGUGCCGUAACUUCGGGAGAAGGCACGCUGACACGUAGGUGAAGUGAUUUACUCAUGGAGCUGAAGUCAGUCGAAGAUACCAGCUGGCUGCAACUGUUUAUUAAAAACACAGCACUGUGCAAACACGAAAGUGGACGUAUACGGUGUGACGCCUGCCCGGUGCCGGAAGGUUAAUUGAUGGGGUCAGCGCAAGCGAAGCUCCUGAUCGAAGCCCCGGUAAACGGCGGCCGUAACUAUAACGGUCCUAAGGUAGCGAAAUUCCUUGUCGGGUAAGUUCCGACCUGCACGAAUGGCGUAAUGAUGGCCAGGCUGUCUCCACCCGAGACUCAGUGAAAUUGAACUCGCUGUGAAGAUGCAGUGUACCCGCGGCAAGACGGAAAGACCCCGUGAACCUUUACUAUAGCUUGACACUGAACAUUGAGCCUUGAUGUGUAGGAUAGGUGGGAGGCUUUGAAGUGUGGACGCCAGUCUGCAUGGAGCCGACCUUGAAAUACCACCCUUUAAUGUUUGAUGUUCUAACGUGGACCCGUUACCCGGGUUGCGGACAGUGUCUGGUGGGUAGUUUGACUGGGGCGGUCUCCUCCUAAAGAGUAACGGAGGAGCACGAAGGUUGGCUAAUCCUGGUCGGACAUCAGGAGGUUAGUGCAAUGGCAUAAGCCAGCUUGACUGCGAGCGUGACGGCGCGAGCAGGUGCGAAAGCAGGUCAUAGUGAUCCGGUGGUUCUGAAUGGAAGGGCCAUCGCUCAACGGAUAAAAGGUACUCCGGGGAUAACAGGCUGAUACCGCCCAAGAGUUCAUAUCGACGGCGGUGUUUGGCACCUCGAUGUCGGCUCAUCACAUCCUGGGGCUGAAGUAGGUCCCAAGGGUAUGGCUGUUCGCCAUUUAAAGUGGUACGCGAGCUGGGUUUAGAACGUCGUGAGACAGUUCGGUCCCUAUCUGCCGUGGGCGCUGGAGAACUGAGGGGGGCUGCUCCUAGUACGAGAGGACCGGAGUGGACGCAUCACUGGUGUUCGGGUUGUCAUGCCAAUGGCACUGCCCGGUAGCUAAAUGCGGAAGAGAUAAGUGCUGAAAGCAUCUAAGCACGAAACUUGCCCCGAGAUGAGUUCUCCCUGAGACUUAAAGUCUCCUGAAGGAACGUUGAAGACGACGACGUUGAUAGGCCG